GAUGAACGCUGGCGGCGUGCCUAAUACAUGCAAGUCGAGCGAACGGACGAGAAGCUUGCUUCUCUGAUGUUAGCGGCGGACGGGUGAGUAACACGUGGAUAACCUACCUAUAAGACUGGGAUAACUUCGGGAAACCGUAGCUAAUACCGGAUAAUAUUUUGAAACGCAUGGUUCAAAAGUGAAAGACGGUCUUGCUGUCACUUAUAGAUGGAUCCGCGCUGCAUUAGCUAGUUGGUAAGGUAACGGCUUACCAAGGCAACGAUGCAUAGCCGACCUGAGAGGGUGAUCGGCCACACUGGAACUGAGACACGGUCCAGACUCCUACGGGAGGCAGCAGUAGGGAAUCUUCCGCAAUGGGCGAAAGCCUGACGGAGCAACGCCGCGUGAGUGAUGAAGGUCUUCGGAUCGUAAAACUCUGUUAUUAGGGAAGAACAUAUGUGUAAGUAACUGUUCACAUCUUGACGGUACCUAAUCAGAAAGCCACGGCUAACUACGUG
rnacentral:rRNA from 1 species